rnacentral:rRNA from 1 species
GACAGAGGGGGCAAGCGUUGCUCGGAAUUACUGGGCGUAAAGGGCGCGUAGGCGGCCAACUAAGUCAGACGUGAAAUCCCUCGGCUCAACCGGGGAACUGCGUCUGAUACUGGAUGGCUUGAAUUCGGGAGAGGGAUGCGGAAUUCCAGGUGUAGCGGUGAAAUGCGUAGAUAUCUGGAGGAACACCGGUGGCGAAGGCGGCAUCCUGGACCGAGAUUGACGCUGAUGCGCGAAAGCCAGGGGAGCAAACGGG